rnacentral:lncRNA from 1 species
AAAUCUAAGUUGUUAACGGAUAUGAUAUGGGAAGGUUGAGCUGCUGUUUAUCUGUUCCUAGAGAUGCUAGAAUUCUGGAGAAUUUUAUCUUUGAAAAAUCUUUAAAAUAUUACAUGAUGAGUUCCUGUAUGAUGAGAGUUUAAAUUCCUACCACAGCCAUAUAUACAUGCUUGCUAGACUUUGAGCCACACAUUUAUUAUUUACUGCUUAUGAGCAUUGAGUGUGGUCAAGCUGUGUAGACCCUUAGGAGCUUGUCAUGUGGUUAAAUCAAGAUUCACUUGCACAUUCACUCAUAUAUGCUACUUCUACUUCGGAAGUACCAUCCACAUAUAUCCACUCAUUUCCAUCUCCAGAACCACCCAAAAAUAUUCUACUCCUAAUCCGGGAGAGAAUAACCAAAAAUAUUUCUAUUUUUCCUUGUGAAAUAAAUGCUCAAGUUAUCUUGUUACUACCACUUGCUAUAUUAUCUCAUGAGAUGAGUGCUCUAAAAAAAGGAGAGAAAAAAUAUACGAGGAAAUAAAAAGGGGCAAGUGCCCGGAACCUCGAAAGAAAAGAAAAAGAGUGAGACGAGAGGUAAAAAUGGACAAGUGUCCGACAGUAGAAUUAGAGGUACAAGAUACCCACCUGAGAGGAAAGAAAAAGAAGAGCAUCUCAUUCUCCUCAUAAAGUUUCAAAAAGCAAGGAAGGUAUGUAUCCCCUCAAAAGAGCAAAAGUAGAAUUAGACUUCCACCAUUGUUAUCACCAUCAUCACCAUACACCAUUCAUUCGCCACACAUGCACAUCUUGAUUUGGCUUAUUGAUUUGUUUCUUUGGAUCCAUGGUUUGACUAUGCAAUAAAUGUCUUGUAAGUAUGUAUACUUUAUCUCCCACCUAUGAGCUCCAGAUAUUAAAGCCUUAUUAGAGUAGGAUGAGAGAGAAGGCAAUGUCACUAUGCCUUAUACCACAAAUACCACAUAUCUUGAGAGAAGGCACAUACCAUCACUGCCUUGGUAAGGAUCCAGAAAUACCACAAAAGAGAGAUUUAGAGAGUCAUAUAAGGAAUCUCUGAGUUUUAUUUGAAAAUCUGCAAAAACUCCAGAGCUAUAGCUGACCAAGAAUAAGAGAUAUGGCACUUGGCUAGACUGUUCUAUCUUUUAACUACUCAAGACAGAAGUGACGGUUACAAGUCCCAUGGUGAAAGGUAAAGUA